rnacentral:tRNA from 1 species
GUUUUUGUAGUUGAAGUACAACGGUGGUUUUUCGUGCCAUUAGUUAUGGUUAGAGUCCAUGCGGAAAUA